rnacentral:miRNA from 1 species
AAUUGUAAAGAAAAGAGAAGGGGUGAAGGGCUGCGCUGAGUACAGAUAAAUAAAAUAUAAAAUAUAUAAAAUAAUGGUAGAAUAUAUUUUAUAUUUUAUUUAUCUGUAUUCAGCGCAGCCCUUCACCCCUUCUCUUUUCUUUACAAA